UACGGAGGGUGCGAGCGUUAAUCGGAAUUACUGGGCGUAAAGCGCACGUAGGCGGCUUAGUAAGUCGAUUGUGAAAGCCCCGGGCUUAACCUGGGAACUGCAGUCGAUACUGCUUUGCUUGAGUGUGGUAGAGGGAAGCGGAAUUCCAGGUGUAGCGGUGAAAUGCGUAGAUAUCUGGAGGAACAUCAGUGGCGAAGGCGGCUUCCUGGACCAACACUGACGCUCAGGUGCGAAAGCGUGGGUAGCAAACAGG
rnacentral:rRNA from 1 species